GACUGCUAUGGUGACCUUGCGGUUAGAGAAUCCGCCUCGGAUGCGGAAGUUCGUGGGUUCAAUCCUCAGCCAAGUCA